ACCAGCAGGUGGAGGUGGGGGUGGAGGAAGGCUCAGAGUCUGUCCUCCUGCCCUGCAAAACAAAACCUGACCUGCCUGAGGACACAAGAGUGGAGUGGACUCGCUCUGACCUCAUGAUGGUCCGUGUGUAUCCAAACAGAAGCGACCUCCUUAAAAAACAGGACAACCUUUACAGAGAUCGAACAAAGAUGAACAAAGACCUGCUGAGAACUGGAGACCUCAGUCUGACCCUGAAAUACCCCACAGACUGGGACACAGGAGGAUACAUCUGCACCAUCUACAGGGACGAAGACAUCCUGAGACAGAAAGUCGUGCUGCAGGUCAAAGAACAGUUUCCAUUCUGGACUGUAGUUCUCCUGAUUCUCCUGGUUCUCCUGGUGGUUCUUGUGGUUUCUGGAGGUCUUUUAUUUCAUUUCCGGCACUAUUUCAUGUCAGUUUAUAAGGUGGAGGUGGAUUCAGGGGUGGAGUCUGUCCAGCUGAUCUGCAAAACCACAGUUUGUCUGCCUAAAGACGCUAAAGUGGAGUGGAAGGACAAAGACAACAGGAAGGUCCACGUGUAUGAGAACGGCUCUGACCAGCCUGAAGAACAGGACGAUAAAUACAAGAACCGAACAAAGAUGAAGAGAAACUUACUGGAACCUGGAGACCUCAGUCUGACCCUGACAUACCCCACAGAUGGAGACAACUCCACCUACACCUGCAUCGUCUACAGCAGGAUGGGAAAUAUCCUGAUGAAGAAACAAGUGAAGCUGAAAGUUGGAGGUCAGUACUGUAGAUACAGGUCAGAGGUCAGACUCAUGAUGGUGGUUCAGUCUCAGUGGGCUCCAUCCAAUAAUGUUACAGUGUUAGCAUGUCUGAUGUUUGUGGCUGUUUUGGUUUUUAUUUGAUUUCCACCCAAAUGUAAAAGCUUCAGCAGAUGAACUGUAGGAGCAAAGUUCAUGUGUGAGACUUCAUCUGAAAGGUAACAUCUUCUAGUUUCUGAACAUGUGUUUGUUUAGCAUGUGGCUAAAACACAGGCUAAGCUAAGUCAGUUCAAAUCUCAGUAAAAACCUUCUUUGGUCCUCAUCUAUAAUCAGUCAUAUCUGAGUCACAAUAACUAGAAGAUGAUUUCUAGCAGAGCUGUGAAAAUCUCCACAUCCUUUCUCCAUGUUAUCAUCCAAAGCUGUGUGAAGUUUCAGAGCUCUGCAGCUAACAGAGACUUUCAGUUUGCUGCUCUCUUGCUCUGACAGCUUCAUUCUUAGGGAGCGUUAGUUCUCUGUUUCACUUUAUUCCACUUAUUCAGUCUGAUGUUCUCUGAUCUGUUUCUCUUGUUUAGUGUCUUAAAUGCUGCCAGUGCCUCUCUUUGCUUUAACCAACCUUUCUCUUUAUUUCUGAGCUUUUUAAGGACUUUAACUGAUGCAUCAACCUUUGAAAAUGGAAAGAAAUCAGUCAGAUUCAUGGCUGCAUCAAAGUGUCACAUGUAGUUCUUCCACAUCAGCUGGAUUAUAUCUAUAGCAGCAAACAGCAGCUGAUCCACAAAUCUUUGUCUGUGUUAAUAAAGUUGGAUCAGUUCAAAUAGUUUGUUGCUCUGCACUUGAAAGCAGCAGUUUUUCUAAUGCACCACCUUCAUGUUUCCUUCAUAUUUGAAUCCCCCUGUAGAUACUGACAGGUAACCAUGUCACACAGAGCUCAAGCCUUUGAAUCCAGCUGUGAUUGUUGAUUUUCUAUUGAAUGGACUUUUUCAAAUCCAGCUGUAGGCCUGUGUUUGUGAGCUCAUUAACAGCUGUUUAUUUAGAGAUACGUGGUCCUCACAGGACAGCCACUACAAACAUAUGAUUUUAUAGAAUAUGAUGCAUUACUGCAGAUUCAACACAAUAGAAAGGAUUUGAAAUGAGCUCAGCCUUAAACAUGUGCAGCAGUAAUAUUGAUCCAUAGACACUGAUGGGAACAUUUUUCUGCACAAUAAGUACUUUGACUUUUCAUACUUUAUGUCCAAUUUGCCAGUACUGCAGUUUUGUGUGUAGUGAGGUGUUUUCAUGGUGUUUUAUUGGUGCUUUUACUAAAGGAAGGCUUCUAUCAAAUUCUUCCAAAUGUUGUCAAACUGAGCUGUGUGAUGAAGUGAGUGUGACAGAAACACUCAGACUGUGUUUCUCUGCUUCAUCAAGUCAAAUCUGGUCCUCAGAGACUGAAUAAAGUCAUGUCCCACUAACAGCAGCUCCAACAGUCUGUUCACUGCUUUCUUCCUGUCAGUCUUCAUCUUUCUGCUGCGUCUCCUCUUCACACUGACCACUUUCUAUCUAACAGUGAGCUCCCAGUGAAGCAGCAGCAUUCA
rnacentral:lncRNA from 1 species